AUGGCGCCGGUUGGUGGCGUCGCCGGGAGCUCCAGAUCCGCGGCCUGCUGCGCCGUGCUGCUCGCGGCGGUGCUCUUCUUCUCCGCACCGGCCACCACAGAGGCUUAUGAUUCGCUGGAUCCAAACGGCAACAUCACCAUAAAAUGGGAUAUUAUUUCGUGGACUCCUGAUGGUUAUGUGGCAACAGUGACAAUGUUCAACUACCAGCAGUUCCGACACAUACCUGCACCUGGGUGGCAGCUGGGAUGGUCAUGGGCAAAGAAAGAGGUCAUCUGGUCGAUGGUGGGGGCUCAGGCUACUGAGCAGGGUGAUUGCUCAAAAUUCAAGAGUGCCCCUCCCCAUUGCUGCAAGAGAGAUCCAACGAUUGUCGAUCUUCUUCCGGGCACCCCAUUCAACCAGCAAAUUGCCAAUUGUUGCAAGGCAGGAGUUAUAAAGACAUUUAACCAGGACCCAGGAAAUGCUGCAUCCUCCUUCCAGAUUAGUGUAGGUCUUGCUGGGACUACCAAUAAGACGGUUAAGAUGCCGAAAAACUUCACCCUUAGGGCCCCAGGUCCGGGGUACACAUGUGGGCGUGCUCUUGUUGGCAGGCCUACCAAGUAUUACUCGUCAGACGGGCGCAGGGUAACCCAAGCUCUCAUGUCGUGGAAUGUAACCUGCACAUACUCCCAAUUUCUUGCUCAGAAGACUCCCACCUGCUGUGUAUCUCUCUCAUCGUUUUAUAACGACACUAUUGUGAACUGCCCAACGUGCUCUUGUGGCUGCCAAAACAAUAUUACUCGUCCAGGAAGCUGUGUAAAUGACAAUUCGCCUUAUUUACAAUCUGCCAUCAAUGGCCCUGGCAAAUUAACUGGCCAGCCUCUUGUCCAAUGUACUUCCCACAUGUGCCCGAUAAGAAUCCAUUGGCAUGUGAAGCUCAACUACAAGGACUACUGGAGAGUGAAAGUCACCAUCACAAACUUCAACUACCGCAUGAAUUAUACAGACUGGAACAUGGUUGCCCAGCAUCCUAACUUCGAUAAUAUCACAAAGCUGUUCAGCUUCAACUAUAAGCCACUUACCCCAUAUGGAGGCCGCAUAAAUGACACCGCAAUGUUCUGGGGAAUGAAGUUCUACAAUGAUUUGCUCAAUCAAGCUGGCCCGCUUGGAAACGCGCAGUCAGAACUACUCAUGCGGAAGGACUCGGAGACUUUCACCUUCCAAAAAGGAUGGGCGUUUCCCCGGCGUGUGUACUUCAAUGGUGAUAACUGUGUCAUGCCAUCUCCCGAUGACUAUCCAUGGUUGCCUAGUGCAAGCCCUCUGACAAAACAACCAUGGACGCUCCCACUAUUGGUGUUCUGGACUGUGUUGUCUACUUUGCUGGCUUAUUACGUAUGA
rnacentral:rRNA from 1 species